rnacentral:lncRNA from 1 species
UGAAUUACAGUUUGUAUAGGUGUCAAAUGACUAUGAUUUUGCUCAUAGAAGGUUUCUUUUGACAAUUGGGAUGUUCUGGGGUCCUCUCAUGUGGGUUUACUAUUUGGGGUUUCUACGGUCCUCAUGUGGGUCUACUGUGUUGAUCUCUAGUUGCGGUUCUCGUCGGAGGUCUUUGUGUUAGGUUUUAUUUUUGACUUGUUCUUUUAUUGUAAUGGUCCAAAGUGACCUGAAUUGGAUUCUCCUGUUAGUCCAUGACGUGUGUGGUACUCUUUCCUCUCAUAGGAUUUGUCCCAUGAGGUUGUCCUAUGAAGGUUUUAACGAGGCCACUGUAUCAUGUCUCUAUUUGUAUGUCUGUG